rnacentral:piRNA from 1 species
UAAUGGAUAUAUUUGAGCGAGAACAG